rnacentral:rRNA from 1 species
GUAGUUUGAUCAUGGCUCAGGAUGAACGCUAGCGGCAGGCUUAACACAUGCAAGUCGAGGGGCAGCAUAAUGGAUAGCAAUAUCUAUGGUGGCGACCGGCGCACGGGUGCGUAACGCGUAUGCAACCUACCUUUAACAGGGGGAUAACACUGAGAAAUUGGUACUAAUACCCCGUAAUAUCAUAGAAGGCAUCUUUUAAUGGUUGAAAAUUCCGAUGGUUAGAGAUGGGCAUGCGUUGUA